UCUCUAUUCUUAAGAAUAUUUACUGGAAGGAAGUUGGUGUACUUUCUGCAGUGUGGAUCGUUGUCCUUGGACUGCAGAUCACCAAGAAUCAUACAACUACUUGUUCGGUGCUGUAUUGGUUACUAAACCUAUUGCAGAUCCCAAUAACUGUUGGAGUGACUUCAUAUGAAGCCGUGAACCUGUACAAAGGGUAGAGAGUGAUCGCAUCAAAGGGAGAAACAUACACAAAUUAGCGAGUGCACCAGCUGGUUCUUUAUUGUGCAUGUGGAAUAUUAGCCGGCGUAGUCGGAGGGUAGCUUGGUCUUGGUGGAGGAUUCAUUUUGGGUCCACUUUUUCUGGAGCUGGGAGUCCCUCCUCAGGUGCGUUGGGUGCUUCGAACAGAUCUUCAUAUAUUUUGAGAGAUCAUGUUAGAUGUCAGCGUUGUUAAUUUUUUUUUUUUUCCCUUUCGGCUGAUCAUUAUUUUUUAUUUUUCUUUCACUCUCCUUUUCUCUGUUUUUUUUUUUUUCUCUUUUGUUUGUUUUUUCUUCCAUCACGGAUCUGCAGGGAAAUGAAUACAUGUUGUUCAUUUUCUACAAAUCCAAGUUAAUGUACCUUUUUUUUUAAAACCUUUUAUUUUAGUUGUUAGUUUUCUUCCCCUAUAUAUCCGAACAUAUGUUGAUAUAUUUGAAGAGAUCGUGUUCAUAUCUCAGUGUGCUUAAUUAUUAUAUUUGUUUUAC